rnacentral:lncRNA from 1 species
CCUAAAUUAUCAUUUAGCAGAAGCUAUUCCCUGAACGAUGCAUGAGCGUGCAACGAGAAAAGAAGGAACGCAAAGUUACACAUUGUCCUCAGGAAAAAAAGAUCCUACAGUAUUUGAAGCGAAGAGAGGAUGUCAUUCUGAGUACAGGCUUGGUAUGUAGUAGGUCCCCAAUACGUGUCUGA